rnacentral:rRNA from 1 species
UACGAAGGGGGCUAGCGUUGCUCGGAAUCACUGGGCGUAAAGGGUGCGUAGGCGGGUUUUUAAGCCAGAGGUGAAAUCCUGGAGCUCAACUCCAGAACUGCCUUUGAUACUGAAGGUCUUGAGUAUGGGAGAGGUGAGUGGAACUGCGAGUGUAGAGGUGAAAUUCGUAGAUAUUCGCAAGAACACCAGUGGCGAAGGCGGCUCACUGGCCCAUAACUGACGCUGAGGCACGAAAGCGUGGGGAGCAAACAGG